ncrna:Hydra vulgaris microRNA hma-mir-3012a precursor
AAGGAAAAACUUUCUGCAAAUCCACUAAUGCUUUUAUUCAUCAGUGGAUUUGUAGAAAGCUUUACCAG